rnacentral:lncRNA from 1 species
UUAUGAUCUGAUAUUAGAGGAAGAUCAUAUUCAGUUACCACUUGGUUCCACUUGAUCAUCCAUUCAUAGUUACCAAAUACCCUAUCCAGUCUGCUGCAUACUCUGUCCACUCCAGUAUGCUUAUUUGUCCAGGUGUAGUAUUCACCCCUCCAAGGUAAUUCUGACAAUCCAGCUUGUUGAAUACAUUUACUGAAGUCUUGGGUUUCAGGGAGUCUUACAGGUUUGCAAGACUGCCUAUCUUUGUCACAUAAGAUAGCAUUGAAAUCUCCAGCAACUACCC